CACGGGGGGAGCAAGCGUUGUUCGGAAUCACUGGGCGUAAAGGGCGUGUAGGCGGUCAGGUAAGUGGGACGUGAAAUCCCUCGGCUCACCCGAGGACCUGCGUCCCAUACUGCUUGGCUUGAGUAUGGGAGAGGAUGAGGGAAUUCCUGGUGUAGCGGUGAAAUGCGUAGAUAUCAGGAGGAACACCGGUGGCGAAGGCGCUCAUCUGGCCCAAUACUGACGCUGAGGCGCGAAAGCUAGGGGAGCAAACGGG
rnacentral:rRNA from 2 species